GGGGCUUUAAUGUGACUUACAAAUUCAUAUAUAUAUAUAUUCAUAUAUAUCUAAAAUACACAUAUCAAUAUUAGUCUGGCUCAGAGAAGAAGACAGGGUUACAAAAACCCCUAAAAGCUUAUUUUCCAACACAAGUCUUGGUCUUGGCUUCCCAGAUGCUAUUGGUCUUAUCAGAUAGCCAGAAAAUGCUGGUCAUUGCUUAGCUUUCUAAAAGGGCAGUAGGUAACAACACAUGAGCAAAGGGGUCGACUUCCUAUGGCAACCAUUCCAUAAAUGGCAAAGCAUUUUUAUACCGAGCAAGAUUAAUGGCAGAUUUCUUUUUUAAAAAGUUAAAUGACAAAGUCGAAUUCUUCCAAAUAUUUACCUUCCAAUGUUUAAGAUAUGGAAGAUCUACUGAAAUCUCACCUAAAGUAAAUUACUUUGUUUUUCAUUUGGCAAUUUUUUUUUUUUCUCUUUCCUUGCUCAUUUCCUCCUGUCGGCUGGCCUGCCUAGGAGGGCAGCUUCCUCGGGCUCGGUCGGUAAACGGGGCAGCGGGCAGCGGGCAGCGGGCAGUCGGGCCUCUGUAAGGAGAUCCCAACCCCACGCCCCUGGACAUCUGAAACCUGAAGUUGAACUACUUGGAGGCUGGUCGAGUUCUCCCCCCAAAACCUCCAGCCACAGGAUCGGGGUGGGGGACACCCCCUGCUUCAUUUCAGAGCUGACGUUUGCCACCCUGGGGUCUAGCAAAAACCAGAGGCGAACUCUCCGCGCUCUCCCGGUAAAUCCGCAUCCACUCCGGGGCGCGAAGCUGAAGGGCAGGGCGUGCUCGGUGGCGAGCCCGAGCCGGGGCGCUCGGGACCCCGCUCCCUGCGCGGGGGGUCCGGGCCGGGCGGCCGUGUGCGCUCCGGGGGCCGCUCCGUUGGCCUCCAGGGCGGCGCAGGGGGCACGCGCGCCUAAGGUGGGCCACCUGCGGGGAAGGAACCGGGCGGUGAGGCCGCACGGGCAGGGGCGCAGACCGGGGACCGCGCGGGGCCGGGGAGCGCGGGGGCGGGGGCGGCGGGGCUGGCGCACGGGCCUCGCCUUCCCCAGCAGGGGGUCCGCAGGGGACCCGACCUCCCAGCCUCGCCGCCCAGGCGUCCCCCAGCCCACGACCGGCCCCUCGCUCCCGGCCGCGCGGGUCCCCGCCCCCCGGAGCAGCGGCGCCGCGGGGCGGGCGGGCCGGGAUGCGCUCGUCCGCUACCUGUCGGCGGGAGGCGAGCACCGGGCGCCCGCACGUCGCGCCGGCGGGACUCGGGGCCGCAGCGGAGCGCGCCGGGCAGCAGUGGGCGCUCGCGAUCCUCCGCUGCCCUGCGCGCUCUCCCUCAGGGCCCGGCCUCCUCCGUCCCCUCCUCCUGCUCCUGCUCCUCCUCCCGCUCCUCCCCUCGGCGGGACUGCUCGCCUAGCCUCCCGCCUGCACAGUCCCCGGCGCGCCGGCAGCCACCAGACGCCGCCACCGCCGGGUCUCCGCGGGUGCCCGCGCCCCUGCCUCGGCCGGCCGUCCCGAGGCGCCCCGAAGCUCGUCCGCCGGCCGCCGGUGCUCCGCGGCCCUGCCCAUGGCUCAGCCCGAGAGCCGACUUCGGGCGCCGGACCGGCUCGACAGCGGCGCGGCUCAGGUGAGUGCAGCGCGCUUGGGGCGGGGGCCAGCCAGCCUGGGGAGUGGCAAGACGGGGGGGGGCGGGGGGCCCUCACCUGGCGUCUGGGACUUGGAGCGAGCGCAGAGCCCAAGGUGAGUCGGGGCUGGAGCAAGUGGAGUGGAUGUUGGGGGAACGAGGAAGGAGAGACCCGGGGUUUCCCAUCCUUCUCACCUUCUGCUUGCCUAAUAAGCUCUGCAAAUCUUGAGGGACUGUUUUCUGUUUUUUCUUUCUUUUUUUUUUUUUUUUUUUUUAAAUGGACAGACAUUCGGGUCUGUGACUUUGUGCAUUGGAUCCUCUCCCAGCCGGGUCAGGGGGCUCGCUGGUGCCCGCCGCAUCUCCCCAGGACGGUGCAGGGCAGCCGGAGCGCCGCGCGCAGCAGAGCCCGGGUACCGCUCCGGCUGGGAACCGGGGCCAGGGAUACAGUCAGCAAAAGUCAGGAGAUCAGUUCUGUUCAAGACUUGGCAGUGAGCAUCACAGGGGCCCAGUGUGCGAAGUUGCCAGCCUAGUGUCUGCUCAGUAACAAGUGCUGCAGAUGGGAGCUGCCAUCAUUGCUUUUGGCAAAGCAGGAGGCCUGGGCUCCAGGUACAGUUGAGCAUUCUUUCAUUGCCUGUGCCAGCUCAGGGCUUCAAACUUCCAGAAGGUUCCAUUUGUUCAAUAUUACCUGGUUCGCUCCUGGAGAGAGGAUGAUCAGUUUCUCCUUAUCCUGCCUACAAUUUCAACUUGGCUUCCUCCUACUUUGUGAGUGGGGUGAAGGGAUCUGACUAUUCAGAGAGCACUUUCUCCACUUAAAUUAAGAAUUGCAACUCUGCUGAACUCUGUGUACCCCUGCGCUCCCAUUUCAGCUGCAACCAGCCACAUAUGGCCUGAGAUGCGCUGUAGGAGUAAAUGGAUACGCACUGGAUUCUGGGGACGUGGUGGAAAAAAAAAAAAAAGCAAAACAUCUUCUUAAUUUCAUAUAGGGAUUAUGUGUUGAUGAGAUACUGUUUUGGAUGUUUGGGUUAAGAUAAAAGUAUUUCUUUUUCUUAAUGUGACUCCUGGGUCAUUUGAACACUUAUAAUAAAAACUAUAAUAAUCGAUGCUUUGUCA
rnacentral:lncRNA from 12 species